rnacentral:rRNA from 1 species
AUUGAACGCUGGCGGCGUGCCUAACACAUGCAAGUCGAACGACAAGACGAGGAGCUUGCUCUUCUGGCGUUUGCCGCGGGCGGGUGAAUAACACGUGGAUAACCUCCCUAUUAGACUAGGGUCCCUUCGAAGCCCCGUUGAUACUACAGGCUAAUAUCUUAUAAAGCAUGGUUCACUACUGACCUCCCGCUUUGCUGUUAGUUGUAGAUUGAUCCGCGCCGGAUUAGCUAGUUGGUAAGGUAACGGCUUACCAAGGCGACGAUGAGUAGCCGACCUGAGAGGGUGACCGGCCACACUGGAACUGAGACACGGUCCAGACUCCUACGGGAGGCAGCAGUAGGGAAUUUUGGGCAAUGGGCGAAAGCCUGAUGGAGCAACGCCGCGUGAGUGAUGAAGGCCUUCGGAUCGUAAAACACUUUUAUUAGGGAAGAACAAAUUGGUAAUAAUCCAGUCGCGGGAUGACGGUACCGAAAGAGAAAGCCACGGCUAACUACGUG